rnacentral:rRNA from 1 species
UACGUAGGGUGCAGGCGUUAAUCGGAAUUACUGGGCGUAAAGCGUGCGCAGGCGGUUUCUUAAGUCAGAUGUGAAAGCCCCGGGCUUAACCUGGGAACUGCGUUUGAAACUGGGAGACUAGAGUGUGGCAGAGGGGGGUGGAAUUCCACGUGUAGCAGUGAAAUGCGUAGAGAUGUGGAGGAACACCGAUGGCGAAGGCAGCCCCCUGGGCUAACACUGACGCUCAUGCACGAAAGCGUGGGGAGCAAACAGG